rnacentral:rRNA from 1 species
UACAGAGGUCUCAAGCGUUGUUCGGAUUCAUUGGGCGUAAAGGGUGUGUAGGUGGCGCCAUAAGUCAGGUGUGAAAUUUCGGAGCUUAACUCCGAAACUGCAUUUGAUACUGUGGUGCUUGAGGACUGGAGAGGAGACUGGAAUUUACGGUGUAGCGGUGAAAUGCGUAGAUAUCGUAAGGAAGACCAGUGGCGAAGGCGGGUCGUCGUGGACAGCUCCUGACGCUGAGGCACGAAGGCCAGGGGAGCAAACGGG